CCUACGGGGUGCAGCAGUGGGGAAUAUUGCACAAUGGGCGCAAGCCUGAUGCAGCCAUGCCGCGUGUGUGAAGAAGGCCUUCGGGUUGUAAAGCACUUUCAGCGGGGAGGAAGGCGUUAAGGUUAAUAACCUUGUCGAUUGACGUUACCCGCAGAAGAAGCACCGGCUAACUCCGUGCCAGCAGCCGCGGUAAUACGGAGGGUGCAAGCGUUAAUCGGAAUUACUGGGCGUAAAGCGCACGCAGGCGGUCUGUCAAGUCGGAUGUGAAAUCCCCGGGCUCAACCUGGGAACUGCAUUCGAAACUGGCAGGCUAGAGUCUUGUAGAGGGGGGUAGAAUUCCAGGUGUAGCGGUGAAAUGCGUAGAGAUCUGGAGGAAUACCGGUGGCGAAGGCGGCCCCCUGGACAAAGACUGACGCUCAGGCGCGAAAGCGUGGGGAGCAAACAGGAUUAGAUACCCUAGUAGUC
rnacentral:rRNA from 1 species